CCUCGGCCUCCCAAAGUGCUGGGAUUACAGAAGUUAAUAUGACUUGAAACAGUGACAAAUUCAAGAAUUUACAGCCCAGGAUAAGGAGCACAAUGUAUGGUCUCUGCAAAGACUGAAGUAGCUGGAGAGAAGAUGGGAAAGAAGCCAAGCUACCCAAGAAACCAGAAUCUAUGAAAUUUUUAGCUUCGAAGUCCAGAAACAGGACCAGGUGUACAGGAAGAACUCAACAAGUGACUUUUUGGUAACCAGAUAACAUAGACACCACACAAGGCAAAUGUAAUUCGUGUAUCUAACGUUUUCACAGAGGGAAAAUUUUAUUUCUUUUUCAAAUUUAGUGACACAUGUUUUCUAAAUGCGUUUUUUUUUUGCAUACAUUAUAUUUUGCUUAUUCAGUCAUCCAUCAAAGGACAUUUGGAUUGCUUACUGCUCUGAACAUGGGUGUGCAAAUCUCCUUGAAGUCCUGCUUUCAUUUUUUUUCAUCAACUUUUAAGUUCAAGAGUACAUGUGCAGGAUGUGCAGGUUUGUUACAUAAGUAAACAUGCCAUGGUAGUUUGCUACACAGAUCACCCCAUCACCCAGGUAUUAAGCCUUUUAAAGUAAAAUAUAUAGUGCCAUAUCUAUUAUAUGUCUACAUAUUCGUGGUAGUAAAUAUUUAAUUUUUUUCCUUUCUUUCUCUCAGUGCAUUAUUCCCUCCUUGAUAUAAUAAUUUUAAAAAUAGACGUAUCCUAUUCAGGAGACCUUUGAUGAAGAUGUGUAUCUGAAUUCUACACAUAAAAAUUGGACCAUAGUAAUUGCUGCCACCUUGUGGGACUGUGAAAAAAAGUCAAGAGUCUAUUACCUCCUUAUACUCAGCAUCCUUUCAUUCAAGCAUUCAUACAUCCAUUCAUCCUUUCAUGCCACAUCUACUCUGUGCCAGGCCCUGGCUAGGCUCUGGGGACAUAAGGCAAGUAAGACACACUCUGUGUCCUCAUGAUAUGUAGUGCAAAAUAUUGUCACAGAAGAGAGUGCCCUUCUUGGUUGGAAGUAGUAGAGGAACCCAAAAGACUUCACCAAAGAGGCAUAAUCCAAAGAUUCAUGGAUAGCCAGGCUGAUUCCAUUCUGUGUGGCUUUCUGGUGUGAAAAUAGUUUCCUGGACAGAAUACUCCAGCCCAUUUCUGCUGUUUCUUUCUCACUAGUAGGAAAGACAAAGAGAAACACAGUGCUGCCCAUCCUUAGCACCUCAGAGGGUAUGUGAAUAUCCUUCCUCUUCUUCUCCAGACCCUCUUUCCUCCCCACUUUCUACUGCCCUGUGCCCCAGAAGGCUAAUCAGUGGGAACCACCUCUGUCUCUCUCUUACACACUGACUUCCAAUUCCAUUCAAACAAUAUUGGGGGUGAGGAGGCGUGAGCAGGAGAGGAAGGAGCAUUAGAUGUUAAUAUUUAUGCCCAGAUUCCCUCCCAUAUAGAGCAUCAAGGGCCUAAUGCAUCCUUCAAUAUGAGGCUUCAGGUUAUCCCUUCCCUUGUUUUUUCAGCUCCAGGGAUGGUAAUAGCGCUAAGCUGAUGCUGGCCAUAGAGUGCUACACUAACCCUUGUGGUCUUAUAUUCUGCUUACACCUUUGUAAAUAAUCCCUUCAAAUCAUCUAAAUUUGAGUGUGCCAUUGGUUUCUUGCUUCCUGACUGAUAUAGAAGAAACAAAUGAAUAAAUAAUUGAUACAUGAA